rnacentral:rRNA from 1 species
GUAGGUGAACCUGCGGAAGGAUCAUUCAUAAUAUGUUUGUUCUUCUACAACUCGUGUUCAUUGCUGGCUUCGGCUUGCAAGUUUACCUAUUCUAGGUUUUUACUGUUACAAAAACACCUAAAUAUCAUAAAUUUUCAACGAUGGAUAUCUAGGCUCCUAUACCGAUGAAGAACGCAGCGAAGUGCGAUAAGCAAUGCGAAUUGCAGAACCGCGAGUCAUCAGAUCUUUGAACGCAAGUGGCGGUAGCUUCGGCUAUCAUGUUUGUUUCAGCGUAUCCGGUUAAUUACAUCAUGUAACUUAAUGUGAUUGACUCUGUCUCUCACCAAGUACGGAGUUACUUCAGCGUAACGCCUAACCGAAGCAGUCACUAACUGGUGAUCCUCGUUUAGAGCAGAAGCUGGUAAGCAGUAACUCGAUAACCGUUUAUCCACUAAUGGUACCUGAAAUAAGCAAGACUACCCGCUGAACUUAAGCAUAUCAG